rnacentral:rRNA from 1 species
UCCGUAGGUGAACCUGCGGAGGGAUCAUUACAAAACGGAGUAUUCGUACUCUUCAACCCUUUGUGAACUUACCAUUGUCAGUUGCUUCGGCGGGAGGCCCCUGGGAGGGGCCCCGGGGCCCGGUCCUGAGCCGGGCUCCCGCCGGAGGAGCGCAAACCAAACUCUUGUUGUAUCUCAGUGGCACAUCCGAGUCAAAACAAAAAACAAGUUAAAACUUUCAACAACGGAUCUCUUGGUUCUGGCAUCGAUGAAGAACGCAGCGAAAUGCGAUAAGUAAUGUGAAUUGCAGAAUUCAGUGAAUCAUCGAAUCUUUGAACGCACAUUGCGCCCGCCAGCAUUCUGGCGGGCAUGCCUGUUCGAGCGUCAUUUCAACCCCUCAGGCCAUAGCGCCUGGCGUCGGGGGCUUCCCUUCACCGGGAACCCCUUAGAAACAGUGGCGGACCCGCCGCGGCUCCGAGCGCAGUAGUUAAAAUUUCUCGCUUAGGACGUCCGCGGGGGGGUUUUCCGGCCGUUAAACCGGGACCAGGGACCUGGGACCACGCACAAGGUUGACCUCGGAUCAGGUAGGAAUACCCGGCUGAACUUAAGGCAUAUCAAUAAGGCGGGAGGGGAAGGUCGGACUGGCCAAGGGCACACAGGGGGGGAUA